CAAGCGUGAACUUCACCCUAACGCCGUGCGUGAAACACCCACCUAAACCCCGAUUGUGCAACCCACCUUACUGCCGCUUGUGCAACCAACCCUAUUAUCGCCUGUGACCAACUCUCCUGCACUCGGCUGCCAUCACCUCCUUCCCAUUCAGCUGCGCCUCAGCCCCCUCUAUCUCGGACCAGCAGCAGCCAGUUUUCGCCAUCUCUCUUAAAACUACACUCUCAAGCACCUUUGCUUCUCCCUCAAAAGCCGUCAUUAGCUGCGGCCAACCCUCCACCAUCUUCUCUACCUCUCCUCUUCCAACCAGCAACCCAUCAUCUCCCUUUCUUCUCAGCUAUCCUGCUCUCUCCCUGUUAUCGUCUCACAUCCUUUGCAAUUCCCAUUCCUCAUUGUUGCUGCCUCCACUACCUUCAUACCUCUGCUGAGCACGACCUCCAUUGCCAAGCGCUCCCGACCGCGACUUUCACUGCCGAGCAACUCCACAGUCGUGUGCCUCUACUUCAUCACAACCCACCACCAAGCGACUUUCUGCACCAUCUUUCACUGUCACUGCUCUGCUCUCAAUCAUCUCACUACCACCAGCCAUUGUUUUCUCUCUAAUCCUCUGCUGUACACACAGUCGCUCCCCUGCUCUCAGCCACCUCCAACUCCUUUCAUCACUAGAACCAGGUGGCGACUUGAGCCACCACCUCUCUUGCCCACCACCUGCAACUUUCUCACCUCCAUUUCCUCCACCCUGCUGCAUCCACCUCCAUCUCCGCCACUCUGCUCCACCCAUCUACAACCACUCGCCCACCUUUUCUUUGCUUCCUACGACCAAGCUCCAAUCUUGCUAAGCCACCUCCGCCUCUUUCGCUCUCCAGCCCCUCUCGAUUUCUUCCCCGUGCUCCUCUCUGCAAACCUCUGUUUUCUCUCUCUCUAAAAACCCACAAAACUAAACGUCCGCUUUUCUUUUUUGUUUUCGUCUCUUUCUUUUCGUUUUAAGUUUUCGUUGAUUUCG
rnacentral:lncRNA from 1 species